GACGAACGCUGGCGGCGUGCCUAAUACAUGCAAGUAGAACGCACAGUUUAUACCGUAGCUUGCUACACCAUAGACUGUGAGUUGCGAACGGGUGAGUAACGCGUCGGUAACCUGCCUGGUAGCGGGGGAUAACUAUUGUGAACGAUAGCUAAUACCGCAUAAUAUUUAUUAUUGCAUGAUAAUUAAUUGAAAGGUGCAAUUGCACCACUACCAGAUGGACCUGGGUUGUAUUAGAUAGUAGGUGAGGUAACGGCUCACCUAGGCGACGAUACAUAGCCGACCUGGGAGGGUGAUCGGCCACACUGGGACUGCGACACGGCCCAGACUCCUACGGGAGGCAGCAGUAGGGAAUCUUCGGCAAUGGACGAAAGUCUGACCGAGCAACGCCGCGUGGGUAAAGAAGGUUUUCGGAUCGUAAAGCUCUGUUGUAAGAGAAUAACGGGUGUGAGAGUUGAAAGUUCACACUGUGACGGUAUCUUACCAGAAAGAAACGGCUAACUACGUG
rnacentral:rRNA from 1 species